rnacentral:rRNA from 1 species
UACGUAGGGUGCGAGCGUUAAUCGGAAUUACUGGGCGUAAAGCGUGCGCAGGCGGCUUGACAAGUCAGAUGUGAAAUCCCCGAGCUCAACUUGGGAACUGCGUUUGAAACUGUCAGGCUAGAAUAUGUCAGAGGGGGGUAGAAUUCCACGUGUAGCAGUGAAAUGCGUAGAGAUGUGGAGGAAUACCAAUGGCGAAGGCAGCCCCCUGGGAUAAUAUUGACGCUCAUGCACGAAAGCGUGGGGAGCAAACAGG